rnacentral:rRNA from 1 species
GACGAACGCUGGCGGCGUGCUUAACACAUGCAAGUCGAACGGGCUCUGUCUGGCUGUGUGCUGGGUGGGGUUAGUGGCGAACGGGUGAGUAAUACGUGAGUAACCUGCCCUCUUCUUUGGGAUAAGCCUUGGAAACGGGGUCUAAUACUGGAUAUUCCUGUCUGGUCGCAUGGCUGGGUGGGGAAAGUUUUUUUCGGUGGGGGAUGGGCUCGCGGCCUAUCAGCUUGUUGGUGGGGUGAUGGCCUACCAAGGCGUCGACGGGUAGCCGGCCUGAGAGGGUGACCGGCGACACUGGGACUGAGAUACGGCCCAGACUCCUACGGGAGGCAGCAGUGGGGGAUAUUGCACAAUGGGCGCAAGCCUGAUGCAGCGACGCCGCGUGGGGGAUGACGGCUUUCGGGUUGUAAACCUCUUUCGUCGGGGGACAAGGCUCUGCUUGGUGGUGGGGUUGAGGGUACCCGGUAAAGAAGCGCCGGCUAACUACGUG